AAAAAGAUCAAAAUGAAUAAUAAUUCAAGCAAAUUAAAUUAAAUUAACAUCAUUACCAAUAAAUUAUUAAUUUUUACUAGUAAAGAGUGUAUUUUGACAUUAAUUUUACUGAUUUCGCAUAUUUGGUUCUAUCUACGAUAUCAAUAGUACCAAGCAAGUAGAUAGGGAGUCCUUGAAUAGCCAAACAGCAGAUCUUAAACAUCAUGAAAUACUUAGGACUACAAGUGUUGAGAUACUUAUGAUUGCGAUAAAUACAAUUCUUUAUCGAUAAUCAAUUUAGGAACGGACAGGAAAGUUGCAAAUUAGCAAAUUUUUAAAGCUUUAUUAUAAUAAUUAAUUGUCAAGAUCUUUAUUUUGC